AAUAAAAGUUAAUGAAAUAAAUGAAUAAAACAUGUUUGAGGUGAAAAUAACAAGGCCAUUUCUUCUUCUUCUUGCCGUGAGUUGAGAAAGAAAAUAGAAACCUUUGAGCUUAGGGCAUUCGGCAAAAGAAGGCUUCAAAUAAGGUUGUGGAUUCUGACUACCAGUUCGGGGAUCAUCAGCACUUCGUCACACUAUCUACCAUUACGGCAACUAUGUAAUUAGACUUAGCUUAUGGCAUGUAUAGGAUAGACAAUAUAGUAGAAUGAUAUUUUGACUAUUGUAUAUAAGCCAUAUGAAAAUGGCAUCUUUUGGAUGUUUACUUAUAGAAGUUUACAUUUUAUC